rnacentral:rRNA from 1 species
GAUGAACGCUGGCGGCGUGCCUAAUACAUGCAAGUCGAGCGAACAGACGAGAAGCUUGCUCCUCUGAUGUUAGCGGCGGACGGGUGAGUAACACGUGGAUAACCUACCUAUAAGACUGGGAUAACUUCGGGAAACCGGAGCUAAUACCGGAUAAUAUAUUGAACCGCAUGGUUCAAUAGUGAAAGACGGUUUUGCUGUCACUUAUAGAUGGAUCCGCGCUGCAUUAGCUAGUUGGUAAGGUAACGGCUUACCAAGGCAACGAUGCGUAGCCGACCUGAGAGGGUGAUCGGCCACACUGGAACUGAGACACGGUCCAGACUCCUACGGGAGGCAGCAGUAGGGAAUCUUCCGCAAUGGGCGAAAGCCUGACGGAGCAACGCCGCGUGAGUGAUGAAGGUCUUCGGAUCGUAAAACUCUGUUAUUAGGGAAGAACAAAUGUGUAAGUAACUAUGCACGUCUUGACGGUACCUAAUCAGAAAGCCACGGCUAACUACGUG